rnacentral:rRNA from 1 species
UACGAAGGGGGCUAGCGUUGCUCGGAAUCACUGGGCGUAAAGCGCACGUAGGCGGAUUGCUAAGUCAGGGGUGAAAUCCUGGAGCUCAACUCCAGAACUGCCUUUGAUACUGGCGACCUUGAGUCCGGGAGAGGUGAGUGGAACUGCGAGUGUAGAGGUGAAAUUCGUAGAUAUUCGCAAGAACACCAGUGGCGAAGGCGGCUCACUGGCCCGGUACUGACGCUGAGGUGCGAAAGCGUGGGGAGCGAACGGGAGU